rnacentral:rRNA from 1 species
GGAUGCGAUCAUACCAGCACUAAAGCACCGGAUCCCAUCAGAACUCCGAAGUUAAGCGUGCUUGGGCGAGAGUAGUACUAGGAUGGGUUCCCUCCUGGGAAGUCCUUGUGUUGCAUUCC